UACGUAGGGGGGCAAGCGUUGUCCGGAUUUACUGGGCGUAAAGCGCGCGUAGGCGGGAAGGGAAGUCCGGUGGGAAAGCCCCACGGCUCAACCGUGGAAGAACGCUGGAAACUCUCUUUUCUUGAGGGCGGCAGAGGGAAGUGGAAUUGCUGGGUGUAGCGGUGAAAAUGCGUAGAGAUCAGCAGGAACACCCGUGGCGAAGGCGG
rnacentral:rRNA from 1 species